UUUGUGGAGAGUUUGAUCCUGGCUCAGGACGAACGCUGGCGGCGUGCUUAACACAUGCAAGUCGAACGGAAAGGCCUGCAGCUUGCUGCGGGUACUCGAGUGGCGAACGGGUGAGUAACACGUGGGUGAUCUGCCUUGCACUUCGGGAUAAGCUUGGGAAACUGGGUCUAAUACCGGAUAGGACAGCUGUUUAGUGUCAGUUGUGGAAAGUUUUUUCGGUGCAAGAUGAGCUCGCGGCCUAUCAGCUUGUUGGUGGGGUAAUGGCCUACCAAGGCGUCGACGGGUAGCCGGCCUGAGAGGGUGUACGGCCACAUUGGGACUGAGAUACGGCCCAGACUCCUACGGGAGGCAGCAGUGGGGAAUAUUGCACAAUGGGCGGAAGCCUGAUGCAGCGACGCCGCGUGGGGGAUGAAGGCCUUCGGGUUGUAAACUCCUUUCGACAGGGACGAAGCGUAAGUGACGGUACCUGUAUAAGAAGCACCGGCUAACUACGUGCCAGCAGCCGCGGUAAUACGUAGGGUGCGAGCGUUGUCCGGAAUUACUGGGCGUAAAGAGCUCGUAGGUGGUUUGUCGCGUCGUCUGUGAAAUUCCGGGGCUUAACUCCGGGCGUGCAGGCGAUACGGGCUGACUUGAGUGCUGUAGGGGAGACUGGAAUUCCUGGUGUAGCGGUGAAAUGCGCAGAUAUCAGGAGGAACACCGAUGGCGAAGGCAGGUCUCUGGGCAGUAACUGACGCUGAGGAGCGAAAGCAUGGGUAGCGAACAGGAUUAGAUACCCUGGUAGUCCAUGCCGUAAACGGUGGGCGCUAGGUGUAGGGGGCUUCCACGUCUUCUGUGCCGUAGCUAACGCAUUAAGCGCCCCGCCUGGGGAGUACGGCCGCAAGGCUAAAACUCAAAGGAAUUGACGGGGGCCCGCACAAGCGGCGGAGCAUGUGGAUUAAUUCGAUGCAACGCGAAGAACCUUACCUGGGCUUGACAUAUACAAGACAGGCGUAGAGAUACGUCCUCCCUUGUGGUUUGUAUACAGGUGGUGCAUGGUUGUCGUCAGCUCGUGUCGUGAGAUGUUGGGUUAAG
rnacentral:rRNA from 1 species